GAUGAACGCUGGCGGCGUGCCUAAUACAUGCAAGUCGAGCGAACAGACGAGGAGCUUGCUCCUCUGACGUUAGCGGCGGACGGGUGAGUAACACGUGGAUAACCUACCUAUAAGACUGGGAUAACUUCGGGAAACCGGAGCUAAUACCGGAUAAUAUAUUGAACCGCAUGGUUCAAUAGUGAAAGACGGUUUUGCUGUCACUUAUAGAUGGAUCCGCGCCGCGUUAGCUAGUUGGUAAGGUAACGGCUUACCAAGGCAACGAUGCGUAGCCGACCUGAGAGGGUGAUCCGCCACACUGGAACUGAGGCACGGUCCAGACUCCUGCGGUAGGCAGCAGUAGGGAAUCUUCCGCAAUGGGGGAAAGCCUAACGGAGCAACACCGCGUGAGUGAUGAAGGUCUUCGGCUCGUAAAACUCUGUUAUCAGGGAAGAACAAAUGUGUAAGUAACUAUGCACAUCUUGACGGUACCUAAUCAAAAAGCCCCGGCUAACUACGUG
rnacentral:rRNA from 1 species